UAUGCUUAAAUAAAUGUAAAAGCUUUGGAUGACUUCAAGGCAUUGGUUGAGGCUGGUGUUUAUGAACCGAUCUGUUAAAUGCCUUUUACUUUUUAUUGUGGACAAUUUCAAAUAUAUAGAAAAGUAAGGAGAAGGGUAUAAUGAACCCCACAUCUCUCUCACCCAUUUCAAUUCGUGGUAUAGUGGACCUCAUUUUUGCUUCAUUUAUAGCCACUACUAUUUUCCGUGUUAGGUAGUUUUGAAGCAUAUCUCAGAGGUCCUAUCACUUUAUCUGCAUAUAUUUUAAUAUAAAUUCAUAAUCUGUUUUUUUUUUCGUCUCACAUCUUUUAAUCUUACCAACAGAAUAUGUAGUUUGAUAUGGGCUGUGAAAGAUUGGAGGGACUCUUUACUAUGAGAAGAAGACAACAUUCUUCUUUGGAGAUGUUGGAUUUCAGUUUUUAAAAAAAAAAA